rnacentral:rRNA from 1 species
AUUGAACGCUGGCGGAAUGCUUUACACAUGCAAGUCGAACGAUGAACCUUAGCUUGCUAAGGGGAUUAGUGGCGAACGGGUGAGUAAUAUAUCGGAACGUACCUUGUAAUGGGGGAUAACUAGUCGAAAGAUUAGCUAAUACCGCAUACGCCCUGAGGGGGAAAGUAGGGGAUCUUCGGACCUUACGUUAUAAGAGCGGCCGAUAUCUGAUUAGCUAGUUGGUGGGGUAAUGGCCUACCAAGGCGACGAUCAGUAGCUGUUCUGAGAGGACGACCAGCCACACUGGAACUGGGACACGGUCCAGGCUCCUACGGGGGGCAGCAGUGGGGAAUUUUGGACAAUGGGCGCAAGCCUGAUCCAGCCAUUCCGCGUGAGUGAAGAAGGCCUUCGGGUUGUAAAGCUCUUUCGCAAGGGAAGAAAACUUACAUUCUAAUAAAGUGUGAGGCUGACGGUACCUUGAUAAGAAGCACCGGCUAACUACGUGCCAGCAGCCGCAGUAAUAC